rnacentral:rRNA from 1 species
AUUGAACGCUAGCGGCAUGCUUAACACAUGCAAGUCGAACGGCAGCACGAGGAGCUUGCUCCUUGGUGGCGAGUGGCGGACGGGUGAGUAACGCGUAGGAAUCUACCUAGUAGUGGGGGAUAACUCGAGGAAACUCGAGCUAAUACCGCAUACCCUUUUCGAAGGAAAGCAGGGGAUCUUCGGACCUUGUGCUAUUAGAUGAGCCUGCGUCAGAUUAGCUUGUUGGUGGGGUAAAGGCCUACCAAGGCGACGAUCUGUAGCUGGUCUGAGAGGAUGAUCAGCCACACUGGGACUGAGACACGGCCCAGACUCCUACGGGAGGCAGCAGUGGGGAAUAUUGGACAAUGGGCGAAAGCCUGAUCCAGCAAUGUCGCGUGUGUGAAGAAGGCCUUAGGGUUGUAAAGCACUUUCAGCGGGGAAGAAAAGUUUAAACUUAAUACGUUUAGGCCCUGACAUUACCCGCAGAAGAAGCACUGGCUAACUCUGUGCCAGCCGCCGCCGUAACAC